rnacentral:rRNA from 1 species
AAGGAUGUGGCAUUUCAUAAACAACCAGGAUGUUGGCUCAGAAGCAGCCACCAUUUAAAGAGUGCGUAAUAGCUCACUGGUCGAGAGACGCUGCGCCGAAAAUGUCCGGGGCUCAAGCACGGAACCGAAGCUAUGGCAUGAUAGCAAUAUCAUGGGUAGGGGAGCGUUCUUAUAAGGAAGAAGCAUGACCGGAAGGACAUGUGGACAAAUAAGAAGUGAGAAUGCCGGUAUGAGUAUCGAAAAGAAAGGUGAGAAUCCUUUCCACCGAAAGCCCGAGGGUUCCUGAGCAACGAUCGUCGACUCAGGGUAAGUCGGGACCUAAGCCGAGGCGAGAAGCGUAGGCGAUGGACAACAGGUUGAAAUUCCUGUACCGGAUCAAGUCGAUCGAGCGAAGGAGCGACGCAGGAGGGCACAUGAUCGCGCGGCUGGAAGAGCGCGUCCAAGUGCGUAUGUUGCCGCAGAGGAAAACCCCUGCAGCUAAAAGCAGAGACAUGAUGGGGAGUUAAAGGAAACUUUGACGAACUCAUGGAUCCCACACUGCCAAGAAAAACUUCUAGCGAGACAAGAUCCGCCCGUACCGUAAACCGACACAGGUAGGCGGGGAGAGAAUCCUAAGGUGCGCGGGAAAACCCUCGUUAAGGAACUCGGCAAAUUGCAUCCGUAACCUAGGGAGAAGGAUGGCCCCCGGUCAGUGAAGAGCAGAAACGCUCAGAGCUAAAAGGGGCGGCAGAAAAGAGGCCCAAGCAACUGUUUACCAAAAACACAGGUGCCUGCGAAAGCGAAAGCUGAAGUAUAGGUGCUGACGCCUGCCCGGUGCCGGAAGGUUAAGGAGAGAAGUUAGCGAACGCGAAGCAUCGAACUGAAGCCCCGGUGAACGGCGGCCGUAACUAUAACGGUCCUAAGGUAGCGAAAUUCCUUGUCGGGUAAGUUCCGACCCGCAUGAAAGGCGUAAUGAUUUGGGCACUGUCUCAACGAGGGGCCCGGUGAAAUUGAAAUACCUGUGAAGAUGCAGGUUACCCGCGACUGGACAGAAAGACCCCAUGGAGCUUCACUGCAGCUUGAGAUUGAAUCCCGGUGACAGAUGCACAGGAUAGGUGGGAGGCGCCGAAGCAUUGCCCUAGGGCGGUGCGGAGCCGAUGUUGGGAUACCACCCUUCUGUUGCUGAGAUUCUAACGCGAGGAGUAACGACCCUGCGGACCCUCUCAGGCAGGCGGUUUGACUGGGGCGGUCGCCUCCGAAAGAGUAACGGAGGCGCCCAAAGGUUCCCUCAGGCCGGACAGAAACCGGCCGAAGAGUGCAAAGGCAGAAGGGAGCUUGACUGCGAGACCAACAAGUCGAGCAGAGACGAAAGUCGGGCUUAGUGAUCCGGUGGUACUGAGUGGAAAGGCCAUCGCUCAACGGAUAAAAGCUACCCUGGGGAUAACAGGCUAAUCUCUCCCAAGAGUUCAUAUCGACGGGGAGGUUUGGCACCUCGAUGUCGGCUCAUCACAUCCUGGGGCUGGAGUAGGUCCCAAGGGUUGGGCUGUUCGCCCAUUAAAGUGGUACGCGAGCUGGGUUCAAAACGUCGUGAGACAGUUUGGUUCAUAUCCAUCGCGGGCGCAAGAAGUUUGAGAGGAGCUGCUCCUAGUACGAGAGGACCGGAGUGGACGGAUCAACGGUGUCCCAGUUGUCACGCCAGUGGCACGGCUGGAAAGCCGCAUCCGGGAAGGAUAAACGCUGAAAGCAUCUAAGCGCGAAGCCAACCUCAAGAUGAGACUUCUCAUCAGCAAUGAGUAAGACCCCUUACAGACGAUGAGGUAGAUAGGUUAUGAGUGGAAGAGCCGCAAGGCUUGGAGCGACAUAAAACUAAUAGGUCGAGGUCUUAACUUA